rnacentral:rRNA from 1 species
AUACGGAGGGGGUUAGCGUUGUUCGGAAUUACUGGGCGUAAAGCGCGCGUAGGCGGACUAUUAAGUUAGUGGUGAAAUCCCAGGGCUCAACCCUGGAACUGCCUCUAAUACUGGUAGUCUUGAGUUCGAGAGAGGUGAGUGGAAUUCCGAGUGUAGAGGUGAAAUUCGUAGAUAUUCGGAGGAACACCAGUGGCGAAGGCGGCUCACUGGCUCGAUACUGACGCUGAGGUGCGAAAGCGUGGGGAGCAAACAGGAUUAGAAACCCCUGUAGUCC